AUUGAACGCUGGCGGCAGGCCUAACACAUGCAAGUCGAGCGGAUGAGGGGUGCUUGCACCCCGAUUCAGCGGCGGACGGGUGAGUAAUGCCUAGGAAUCUGCCCGAUAGUGGGGGACAACGUUUCGAAAGGAACGCUAAUACCGCAUACGUCCUAUGGGAGAAAGUGGGGGCUCUUCGGACCUCACGCUAUCGGAUGAGCCUAGGUCGGAGUAGUGGGUUGGUGGGGUAAAGGCCCACCAAGGCGACGAUCCGUAACUGGUCUGAGAGGAUGAUCAGUCACACUGGAACUGGGACACGGUCCAGACUCCUACGGGAGGCAGCAGUGGGGAAUAUUGGACAAUGGGCGAAAGCCUGAUCCAGCCAUGCCGCGUGCAGGAAGAAGGCCUUCUGGGUUGUAAACUGCUUUUGUCAGGGGAUAAAAAGCUCGUGCGCGAGUAAUUGCAGGUACCUGAUGAAUAAGCCACGGCUAACUACGUGCCAGCCGCCGCAGUAA
rnacentral:rRNA from 1 species